rnacentral:rRNA from 1 species
GACGAACGCUGGCGGCGUGCUUAACACAUGCAAGUCGAACGGAAAGGCCCUGCUUGCAGGGUACUCGAGUGGCGAACGGGUGAGUAACACGUGGGUGAUCUGCCCUGCACUUCGGGAUAAGCCUGGGAAACUGGGUCUAAUACCGGAUAGGAGCCAUUUUUAGUGUGAUGGUUGGAAAGUUUUUUCGGUGUGGGAUGAGCUCGCGGCCUAUCAGCUUGUUGGUGGGGUAAUGGCCUACCAAGGCGGCGACGGGUAGCCGGCCUGAGAGGGUGGACGGCCACAUUGGGGCUGAGAUACGGCCCAGACUCCUACGGGGGGCAGCAGUGGGGAAUAUUGCACAAUGGGCGCAAGCCUGAUGCAGCGACGCCGCGUGGGGGAUGACGGCCUUCGGGUUGUAAACUCCUUUCGCUAGGGACGAAGCUUUUUGUGACGGUACCUAGAUAAGAAGCACCGGCUAACUACGUG